rnacentral:lncRNA from 1 species
CCGGCCUCCCGGGACCCGGCACCUCUAGCCAGGGACGCGCGCUCGGUCCCCCGCCGUGCGCCCCCGGUCCCGCGCCCAGGCUCCCGCCCCUGGCCUCCUUACCAGCCACUUGUCGCCCAGCUGCGAACUGGAGCGGGAGGCGGCGGCCGGAGGGCCCAGGACAGCCCCGGGAGGGCGGCGAGGCGGAGCAGGAGCGCCCCGGCUCCGGCCACAUUCUCAGAGUCAGGAAAAGGGGCGAGAGGCCACAUGUCUCCCUCUCGCCCAACUGAAAACGAAACGGCGCUCCAGCAGAUUGGGUGGAAAGAGCUGGGUCUCUUUUCUCUGUUUUUCACGCUAGAAAGGGCUUGUAAACAUUGUUCCUUUUAAAAUGACCUACCCCAGGCAUUUGUUUGGGCACACUUCUGUCCUGGGGUCAUCGUUCCUAGGUGGCUUCGGACCUGGGACUUUUCCUGUAUCUGCACAUUGUCGUUUUAUACACAAUUGCCAAGGUGGGACUGCUUUCAACUUUACUGUGCUUGAAGCUGCAAAGGUUCUGCCCUGAUGUUUCCUGGAAUAAUGCUGAGGACUGCCUUUCGGGUAGCCGCCCUAUUCAGUUCACUUCAUCUCGGAAAUACCUGACCCCUGCCUUGGAUCCAGCGGCCCUCCUGAGAGCUGAGGAAGGAGGAAAUCCUAUGUGUCUGCUCCCGGAGCUGCCACAACCCAUCUUCCCACAACUCGGAACUUGGAAAAAGGAACCCAGGACACGACUUUGCUUUUCUUUUGGACCUAGUUGAUACAAGUUAACAGGAUAUGCUUCUGGCCUGUUUCUGGAUUCUAAGGGUAGAACCAGCAUAAAACUAGUCAGUCCAAGUAUUUCUAAAGAUCCACAGACACAGUUCUCCUGGAUUUGGGAAGCCUAGAGAUAUUAGCACAAUAAUU